AAUAGAUACCCGGGUAGUCCUGGCCCUAAACGAUGAGUGCUUGGUGUGGCGGGUAUCGAUCCCUGCCGUGCCGAAGCUAACGCAUUAAGCACUCCGCCUGGGGAGUACGGUCGCAAGGCUGAAACUCGAAAGGAAGUUGACGGGGGCCCGCACAAGCGGUGGAGCAUGUGGUUUAAUUCGACGCAACGCGAAGAACCUUACCCAGGCUCGAAAUGCAGGGGAUCGACGGCGAAAGUCGUGAGAUGUUGGGUUAAGUCCCGCAACGAGCGCAACCCUUGAUCUUAGUUGCCAGCAUUCAGUUGGGCACUCUAAGGUGACUGCCGGUGACAAACCGGAGGAAGGUGGGGAUGACGUCAAAUCAUCAUGCCCCUUAUGACCUGGGCUACACACGUGCUACAAUGGAUGGUACAAAGGGCAGCAAAGCCGCGAGGCCUAGCCAAUCCCAUAAAACCAUUCUCAGUUCGGAUUGUAGGCUGCAACUCGCCUACAUGAAGCCGGAAUCGCUAGUAAUCGCGGAUCAGCAUGCC
rnacentral:rRNA from 1 species